UACAGAGGGGGCAAGCGUUGUUCGGAAUUACUGGGCGUAAAGGGCGCGUAGGCGGCCCGCUAAGUCGAACGUGAAAUCCCCGAGCUCAACUCGGGAACUGCGUCCGAUACUGGUGGGCUUGAAUCCGGGAGAGGGAUGCGGAAUUCCUGGUGUAGCGGUGAAAUGCGCAGAUAUCAGGAAGAACACCCGUGGCGAAGGCGGCUCUCUGGUACGUGACUGACGCUGAGACGCGAAAGCGUGGGGAGCGAACAGG
rnacentral:rRNA from 1 species